rnacentral:rRNA from 1 species
UUGUUUCCAUUGGUUUGAAGGCCGUUAAAUCUGAGGGUUGUCUGAGGUUAUUGUACCUUUUGCAUUAUGAUUCACUGAUGUUUUUUCUUUAUUCAGGGAUUUCUCGAAGGGUGGCGAUUUCCCCUUUGCCUGCUUAGAUCUGAGUGUUGUACAGGUCGUAUAAUUAUCAGAGCUGAGGGGUGUAGUGACAAAUAGCUCGUGCCGUCCUAUAGCUAGUUGGUUGAUUUCUUUUCCGUCUGUAUCUACCCUGUUAUGAUAUGGGGUAGAGGGCAAGAGGCGGUUUGAUGAUGGCUUGAGUGGGUUAUAGGUUGAGGGUACCCUAAUUUUCUUGGUGUGUUAUAACUAGUUUUUGGUUGUGGAUCGCCUUUGGUUUAGUUUUCGACUGUUUAGCGUUUUUAGUAAUUAUGGUGGAAUGAGUAGUUUUAUUAAUUCUCUUUUUUCUCGGACUCUCCCGAACUGUUUAUUAAAAACAUUUCCAUUAUUAAGGUUUAAUGGUAUUGCCUGCCCGAUGCCUAGUGGUGAAUGGCCGCAGUAUAUUGACUGUGCUAAGGUAGCAUAAUUAAUUGCCCUGUAAUUUAGGGAUUGUUUGAAGGGUUUGAUUAGGGGGUUGAAUUCAUAGAUGAGAGUUUUUUUCGAAAUUGGUUUCUUGGUGCAGAAUCCAAGGUUGGUGAGUAAGACGGAAAGACCCCGAGAGCUUGGAUUGAUUUUUUACCUGGGGAGGGGGUAUAUAGUUCAUGUAUUUUAGGAUCCUGGGAGGAUCAUAGGUGUAAGUUACCUCGGGGAUAACUAGGUAAUAGGCAAGGAGAGGUCCUAUCGAUUUGUUUGUUUGCUAUCUCGAUGUUGGUUUGGGGUAACAAGAAGGCGCAGCAGCCUUCUUGCGGGGUCUGUUCGACCAUAGUUCCCCAUGAGCUGAGUUAAGACCGGCGUAAGCCAGGUCGGUUCUUAUCUGCUAGGGCUGUGAUUUAGUACGAAAGGAUUGGUUGCGGUUUAGGUU